UUAGUGGCGGACGGGUGAGUAACGCGUGGAAAACCUGCCGUAUACUGGGGGGUAACACUUAGAAAUAGGUGCUAAUACCGCAUAAGCGCACAGCUUCGCAUGAAGCGGUGUGAAAAACUCUGGUGGUAUACGAUGGUUCCGCGUCUGAUUAGCUAGUUGGUGGGGUAAUGGCCUACCAAGGCAACGAUCAGUAGCCGGCCUGAGAGGGUGAACGGCCACAUUGGGACUGAGACACGGCCCAAACUCCUACGGGAGGCAGCAG
rnacentral:rRNA from 1 species